GCGGACUCGUGGCGAGGGAUCUCGGGCUGCAGAGGUCGCUGCCAUUGAUGUGUCAGAGCCCGAUCUCGUGGCCAGACUGAAGGCCAGCGCAGGCAAGAAGGUUUGGGCCGAGGUGAAAAGCUUCAUGGCCGCUGAGGCCGGCGCAGGCCAGAAGGCCGCAGCUACCAACUCGCAGCCAGCCGCACGGGCUGAGCCGCUUGAUCGCCCUCUGGAUCA
rnacentral:SRP_RNA from 12 species